GUUGGGUGUAGUGGCUUGCACCUAUAAUCCCAGCACUUUGGGAGGCUGAGACGGGAGGAUUGCUUGAGCCCAGGAGUUCGAGACUGGCCUGGGCAAUAUGGCAAGAUUCCAUCUCUACAGAAAAAAAUAUUAAAAAUUAGCUGGGCAUGGUAGCAUGCACCUGCAGUCCCAGCUACUUGGGAGGCUGAGAUGGGAGGAUCGCUUAAGCCCAGGAGUUUGAGACCAGCCUGGGCAACAUAGCAAGACCCCAUCUCU
rnacentral:sRNA from 1 species